UAAAACACCUGUUACCAUAUGAUCACUGAAGUUAAGCAACGUCGAGACUAGCCAGUAUCUAGAUGGGUGACCACUUGGAAAGGCCAAGUGGUGUAAG